CCCAUCGGUACUGCACUCCCGCUGCUCUCAGGCGGCUGGUUAGGUUGUACAUCGAUUUCCUCCAUUGCAAUGUUGCUCGUGUCAGGUCUUGGAAGAACAACAGCUGGGCGUUUUCGAACUGCAAGGGUGUCUUGCCUUUUACUGCCGUCAGAAUGUUGAUUUUAUCUUGUGUCGUGGUACAGCACAGAAUGACGUCUCGUGCCCCUGUGGAUGGUGAGUUGGGCCCAGCUGGCAGGCGGUAUGUGCUUUCCAGUGUGAUUUUUCGGGCUGUUUGAGGUGGUAAAAUUGUGCUCAAGAGCCGUCUGAUGAAGUGAGGUAUUUCUGCCUGGGAAACCGCUGCGGGCACCCCCCGGAGCUUAAUGUGGUUGCGCCGCAGGAGGUCUCCUUGGGCAGAUAGCUGCACCGUAAGUGCCUGUUGGGUUGUUCGCAUAUCUUGCAGGGAUUGUUUGAGAUGGGACAUUUCGUUUGUUACCUGAGCUACGUUUUCUUCAACCGUGGCUACCCUGGCCGUGUUUUGCCGGACCUCUGCCUUUAUGGUGCCUAUAUCUGUGGCUAUUAGGUCCUGGAGUUCCUGCAUCCAGCGUUGGAGGUCCUGUUUCGUGGCUAGAGUGUGGUCCCCGGUUUCUGCGGGAUUUUCUGGAAGGGUUGGGAGUGUGGCCCUUCUGAGCCCGUCCGUUGGUGCUGCUUGUGGUCGGGCUGGUGGUACAGGCAGUGCCUCGGUUGCGGAGGCUUCUUGUGGUUGCGCCAUUGGAGUAGGUCGCGUAAGUGCAGAGGAGGCCUCCCCCGCCGCCAUCUUGUGUGGGGUUUUCCGCUGCAAUAGUUCCCCGAUGUCGGGUUGUUCAGUCGGUAAGCUCUGCCUACCCUUCUGGGAGCGACGGGUCAUUGUCGCUGUGGUAUCCACUGUUGCUGUGGUGUUCUCCCCUACCGCUCUCUGCUCUGUGUGUCCACAGUAGCCGUAGAGGAACGUCUCCAGAGUGUGGAGAGUUGGCUGGUAGUAGGCCCGGGCUUUUCGUUUAGUCUUCCCGGUCUUCGGGGGUUGGAAGAAGGGCAUUUGUCUGCUCUUUUCGGUGCCUCAAGUCGUUCAGUGGCGUUGGUGGCGUAGUUUUGUGCGUUAAGUUCGGGCUUUUGUCGGUAGAGUUUGGUUACAGGCGGGAGCUGAUAGAGUGUGCGUCUAGUCGGGAUCCGUCCCAGGCCCCGCCCCUGUAACACUUAUUUUAAUUGGAACUCAACUGCAGAAUUUUCUAAUUGCAGUAACUAUUAGUUUCACCUCCUUUUAUAUUGAAAUGAAGGAGUAGUUACUGUCACUUUAAUUACACAUGUAGGAUGUUAAUUGUGAGUAAAGUAUAAGAAUCUGUUGAUUUGCACAAGCCACUUAAUUCCUUUUUUUGGAAAUAAUGCAGAGUUAGAUUCCAGAUUAAUUUAAGAAGGAAUUUUUAUAAUAAAGACUAUUAAUGAAGCAGGAGAAGUUGUAAUUAUAAUUGAGUUGAUUAUUGGAGGAAGAGUUAGCGUUAUUAGCAGAUCCUUAUGAAUAAGGAGAAUAAAUUGAGAGAAUGACACAGUUAACUGUCUAUGAUUUGUAACAGAGAGUGGCUUGAUUGGAGAAAAGUUACUUAACUUAAAAGGCAGUUUCUGGAACUGAAGGGUUAAUUUCACCCGAUGGGUUGAGAAGGUAGAAGUCCGUUUAGCAAGCCGUGGUCUAGGAGUGGAGAGGGUGGAAGUCCGUUUUAGCAAGCCGGGUCUGGGAGUGGAGAAGGUAGGAGUCCGUUUUAGCAAACCGGGUCUGGGAGUGGAGAAGGUAGGAGUCCGUUUUAGUGAGCCGAGGUAAGGAGUGGAGAAGGUAGAAGUCCGUUUUUAGCAAGCCGAGGUCUGAUACAGGCAGGAACGGGGUAAAGCAGCUGAUCACUUUUUCAGGUACCUGUGCAAUAAUCCAGCGUUUUGAAUCUGGCGCGGUCUUCCUAAGUAUCGUGGAGGGACCGCGUCAGAGAAAGGGGCGAGGCUAAGCGCCGUGAACCCGGAAGUGGGUUUUUACAGCAGAAUGCAUGUCAGGCUAUAACUGACAAUUUCUGAUGACUUAAAGGUAGGCAGACAAUGUAAUAGAG
rnacentral:lncRNA from 1 species